rnacentral:misc_RNA from 1 species
AACGCAUAUUGCGCUUCCUGGUAUUCCGGGAAGCAUGCCCGUUUCAGAAUCAAUAUAAAACCUCACCCAACUGGGUUUGCUUUCGGGCUUCUCAGCGAGGUGGAUUUGGAAUUUUGCGUUAUGCAAUCUUCUCAAAACUAUUGUAUGUGCACCAAUCGAUGUUUCUUUUGGUUCCAAAGUGCAACAGAUUCAUCUAUUCGCUUUUGGCAAUCAAUCGACCUCUUGGCUGUGCAUGCUCUCAACUCAUUACAGACUGUAGAUCGGCAUGAUCUGGAAAUCUGAGAACUUGAUCUGAAAUCGGGCAGGAAAACCCGCUGAACUUAA